rnacentral:rRNA from 1 species
AUUGAACGCUGGCGGCAGGCUUAACACAUGCAAGUCGAGCGGGGAUAGGGUGCUUGCACCUGAUUCCUAGCGGCGGACGGGUGAGUAAUGCUUAGGAAUCUGCCUAUUAGUGGGGGACAACAUUCCGAAAGGGAUGCUAAUACCGCAUACGCCCUACGGGGGAAAGCAGGGGAUCUUCGGACCUUGCGCUAAUAGAUGAGCCUAAGUCGGAUUAGCUAGUUGGUGGGGUAAAGGCCUACCAAGGCGACGAUCUGUAGCGGGUCUGAGAGGAUGAUCCGCCACACUGGGACUGAGACACGGCCCAGACUCCUACGGGAGGCAGCAGUGGGGAAUAUUGGACAAUGGGGGGAACCCCGAUCCAGCCAUGCCGCGUGUGUGAAGAAGGCCUUUUGGUUGUAAAGCACUUUAAGCGAGGAGGAGGCGCUCUAGGAUAAUACCCUAGAUGCGUGGACGUUACUCGCAGAAUAAGCACCGGCUAACUCUGUGCCAGCCGCCGCAGUAAAAC